rnacentral:rRNA from 1 species
UUCGACCUCAAAUCAGGUAGGACUACCCGCUGAACUUAAGCAUAUCAAUAAGCCGGAGGAACAAG